UACGUAGGGGGCUAGCGUUGUCCGGAAUCAUUGGGCGUAAAGAGCGUGUAGGCGGCCCGGUAAGUCCGCUGUAAAAGUCAAAGGCUCAACCUUUGAAUGUCAGUGGAUACUGCCAGGCUAGAGUCCGGAAGAGGCGAGUGGAACUCCUGGUGUAGCGGUGGAAUGCGCAGAUAUCAGGAAGAACACCAACGGCGAAGGCAGCUCGCUGGGACGGUACUGACGCUGAGACGCGAAAGCGUGGGGAGCGAACAGG
rnacentral:rRNA from 1 species